AAGACUAUACUUUCAGGGAUCAUUUCUAUAGUCACUCACUAGGAAAUGUGAUUUGAAAGUGUUGCGUCUUGCUAAUCACGAUGAUGAGUUAUAAUGUACUCUUCUGAGCAUGAAUUGGAUUUCAGCUAAUGAUUUGUUUCAUGGGCUUUAAUCAUUGAUGAAUGCUCUUUUGUCUUUUUUAAGGCAUGAGAGGAAGAGUACAUGAUCAGAGUGAU